rnacentral:misc_RNA from 1 species
GAUGAAGAACGCAGCGAAAUGCGAUAAGUAAUGCGAAUUGCAGAAUUCCAGUGAGUCAUCGAAUCUUUGAACGCACAUUGCGCCCUUUGGUAUUCCGAAGGGCAUGCCUGUUCGAGCGUCAUUAUCACCCCUCAAGCCCUCGGCUUGGUGUUGGACGGUUUGGUGGAGGCCCCCUCGGGGGCUCCUGCCCCUCCCAAAGACAAUGACGGCGGCCUCGUUGGAACCCCGGUACACUGAGUUCUUCACGGGACACGUAUCGGACACAUGGGUUUACGGGACACGGUCUGCCUCCCCUCAGGGAGAAUCUUUCUAAGGUUGACCUCGGAUCAGGUAGGGAUACCCGCUGAACUUAAGCAUAUCAAUAAGCGGAGGA